rnacentral:rRNA from 1 species
GGUUAAGCGACUAAGCGUACACGGUGGAUGCCCUGGCAGUCAGAGGCGAUGAAGGACGUGCUAAUCUGCGAAAAGCGUCGGUAAGGUGAUAUGAACCGUUACAGCCGGCGAUGUCCGAAUGGGGAAACCCAGUGCAAUUCGUUGCACUAUCGUUAACUGAAUACAUAGGUUAACGAGGCGAACCGGGGGAACUGAAACAUCUAAGUACCCCGAGGAAAAGAAAUCAACCGAGAUUCCCCCAGUAGCGGCGAGCGAACGGGGAGCAGCCCGGAGUCUGAAUCAGCUUGUGUGUUAGUGGAAGCGUCUGGAAAGUCGCAGGGUACAGGGUGAUACUCCCGUACACUAAAACGCACAGGUUGUGAACUCGAAGAGUAGGGCGGGACACGUGGUAUCCUGUCUGAAUAUGGGGGGACCAUCCUCCAAGGCUAAAUACUCCUGACUGACCGAUAGUGAACCAGUACCGUGAGGGAAAGGCGAAAAGAACCCCGGCGAGGGGAGUGAAAAAGAACCUGAAACCGUGUACGUACAAGCAGUAGGAGCCCACUUGUUGGGUGACUGCGUACCUUUUGUAUAAUGGGUCAGCGACUUAUAUUCUGUAGCAAGGUUAACCGUAUAGGGGAGCCGCAGGGAAACCGAGUCUUAACUGGGCGUUAAGUUGCAGGGUAUAGACCCGAAACCCGGUGAUCUAGCCAUGGGCAGGUUGAAGGUUGGGUAACACUAACUGGAGGACCGAACCGACUAAUGUUGAAAAAUUAGCGGAUGACUUGUGGCUGGGGGUGAAAGGCCAAUCAAACCGGGAGAUAGCUGGUUCUCCCCGAAAGCUAUUUAGGUAGCGCCUCGUGAAUUCAUCUUCGGGGGUAGAGCACUGUUUCGGCUAGGGGGUCAUCCCGACUUACCAACCCGAUGCAAACUACGAAUACCGAAGAAUGUUAUCACGGGAGACACACGGCGGGUGCUAACGUCCGUCGUGAAGAGGGAAACAACCCAGACCGCCAGCUAAGGUCCCAAAGUCAUGGUUAAGUGGGAAACGAUGUGGGAAGGCCCAGACAGCCAGGAUGUUGGCUUAGAAGCAGCCAUCAUUUAAAGAAAGCGUAAUAGCUCACUGGUCGAGUCGGCCUGCGCGGAAGAUGUAACGGGGCUAAACCAUGCACCGAAGCUGCGGCAGCGACACUAUGUGUUGUUGGGUAGGGGAGCGUUCUGUAAGCCGUUGAAGGUGGCCUGUGAGGGUUGCUGGAGGUAUCAGAAGUGCGAAUGCUGACAUAAGUAACGAUAAUGCGGGUGAAAAACCCGCACGCCGGAAGACCAAGGGUUCCUGUCCAACGUUAAUCGGGGCAGGGUGAGUCGACCCCUAAGGCGAGGCCGAAAGGCGUAGUCGAUGGGAAACAGGUUAAUAUUCCUGUACUCGGUGUUACUGCGAAGGGGGGACGGAGAAGGCUAUGUUGGCCGGGCGACGGUUGUCCCGGUUUAAGCAUGUGGGCGGAUGUUCCAGGUAAAUCCGGAACGUCACUAACGCUGAGGUGUGAUGACGAGGCACUACGGUGCUGAAGUGACAAAUGCCCUGCUUCCAGGAAAAGCCUCUAAGCAUCAGGUAACAUCAAAUCGUACCCCAAACCGACACAGGUGGUCAGGUAGAGAAUACCAAGGCGCUUGAGAGAACUCGGGUGAAGGAACUAGGCAAAAUGGUGCCGUAACUUCGGGAGAAGGCACGCUGAUGGUAAGUGAAGUGACUUGCUCAUGGAGCUGAAAUCAGUCGAAGAUACCAGCUGGCUGCAACUGUUUAUUAAAAACACAGCACUGUGCAAACACGAAAGUGGACGUAUACGGUGUGACGCCUGCCCGGUGCCGGAAGGUUAAUUGAUGGGGUUAUCCGUAAGGAGAAGCUCUUGAUCGAAGCCCCGGUAAACGGCGGCCGUAACUAUAACGGUCCUAAGGUAGCGAAAUUCCUUGUCGGGUAAGUUCCGACCUGCACGAAUGGCGUAAUGAUGGCCAGGCUGUCUCCACCCGAGACUCAGUGAAAUUGAACUCGCUGUGAAGAUGCAGUGUACCCGCGGCAAGACGGAAAGACCCCGUGAACCUUUACUAUAGCUUGACACUGAACACUGGUCCUUGAUGUGUAGGAUAGGUGGGAGGCUUUGAAGUGUGGACGCCAGUCUGCAUGGAGCCAUCCUUGAAAUACCACCCUUUAAUGGCUGGUGUUCUAACGUGGGCCCCUGAUCGGGGUUGCGGACAGUGUCUGGUGGGUAGUUUGACUGGGGCGGUCUCCUCCUAAAGAGUAACGGAGGAGCACGAAGGUCAGCUAAUCCUGGUCGGACAUCAGGAGGUUAGUGCAAUGGCAUAAGCUGGCUUGACUGCGAGCGUGACGGCGCGAGCAGGUGCGAAAGCAGGUCAUAGUGAUCCGGUGGUUCUGAAUGGAAGGGCCAUCGCUCAACGGAUAAAAGGUACUCCGGGGAUAACAGGCUGAUACCGCCCAAGAGUUCAUAUCGACGGCGGUGUUUGGCACCUCGAUGUCGGCUCAUCACAUCCUGGGGCUGAAGUAGGUCCCAAGGGUAUGGCUGUUCGCCAUUUAAAGUGGUACGCGAGCUGGGUUUAGAACGUCGUGAGACAGUUCGGUCCCUAUCUGCCGUGGGCGCUGGAGAAUUGAGGGGGGCUGCUCCUAGUACGAGAGGACCGGAGUGGACGCAUCACUGGUGUUCGGGUUGUCAUGCCAAUGGCAUUGCCCGGUAGCUAAAUGCGGAAGAGAUAAGUGCUGAAAGCAUCUAAGCACGAAACUUGCCCCGAGAUGAGUUCUCCCUGACUCCUUGAGAGUCCUGAAGGAACGUUGAAGACGACGACGUUGAUAGGCCGGGUGUGUAAGCGCAGCGAUGCGUUGAGCUAACCGGUACUAAUGAACCGUGAGGCUUAACCUU